rnacentral:rRNA from 2 species
AAGGUUGACCUCGGAUCAGGUAGGAAUACCCGCUGAACUUAAGCAUAUCAAUAAGGCGGAGGAA